UUGGGAUUCUCUCUUUCCCUCUCUCUCUGGCCCUGCCCUGGGCUCUCUCUCUCUCUCUCUCAAGAUAAAUAAACUUAAAACAUUUUUUUUUAACUCCAAUUUCUGAUGCUCACUCUCCUGCCUGGAUUUUAUUGUUUCAGGCUCUCAUCUGGGAGCUCAGGACUGACCUCUGAGCUCACUUCUUUGAUCUUCUCCCCUGGCUCUGUGAUGUGACUUUGGGCAGGUCUCUUGCCCUUCCUGAGCCAGCAAACGUCUUUAAACCGAAGCUUAUAUGGGAAGCCCAGUAUAUGAGACCGAGAAAAAGUUCACAAGGGACUUUUCUCGGAAAAGGAGGCCUAUGCUGCCACCUGGUGGCAACUGUGAGUGGAGAAAUUGUGACCCAAGGAACUUAAGCAACAUGGUCAAUGUUGACCAAGGUCAAGAGCCAGUGUGAUGCAGACCCAGGUGGGUGUGUGUCUGAAGUCCACGUCUUUUCCUUUCUGCCAACAGAGCAGGAGGACAUCUAAAACGCAUCAACAGGCAAAGGAGAUGAGGAAGCAGUCUCAGAGCCGAGAUACGACAGGCCCCCAGGCAUACGGCAAGAGUAUCAUAGCUGGGCUCCGAAUCCAGGUCUGACUGACUUCAAAAGCUCUGCCCCCUCCGCCCCCUCCCUCCCCCCCUCUUCAGCACAUGUAAUUCAGUAGGCUUAUUUAACAAGUCGGGAAACUGAGGUCCAAGAAGGUGAGUGAGUCCAAGGUCACAUGGUGAGUCCAGGAGGUUGUGUCACUAGAAACCAGAUCUUCUGGGUUUCCCUAUCAGGGAAAUUGAGUUUUUGAUUAGGCAGGAAGGAUUGGGUGUUGGAAAUGGAGAUCUUUCUAGGGCAGCUGCUGCCCGGUGAAUGAUAAAUCUGAAGGCCAGGCUAAGGUCUGGGGCUGUGGGAGCUAUUGAGUUUUUUAGGCAGAGUUAGGAGGGUGUUUCACAUACCAAAGGAGGACUAUGAAAACAGCUCCUUUUCCUUCAACCGGUGGAGGGGGAGAGGUAUGCAGAAACCGACACUUUACAGCCCCAGCAACCUCCAGAGUAGCUGCUGUCUCUUUGCAAGACGAUGGUUCUUUCCCCAGCCUGGUUCCUCCUGCUCUUCCUCCCCAGGCGGCUGGGCCCCCAGAUCUCAGGAGCUGAUGUCUGAUGCUGUGCAGAUUACGUUGUUGGUGGGGGCGGGCUGGGGAGGAUGCCCGUGGUGUGACCACUGAGCCAUCCUGUGCUGAUCCGAUGGCGUCAGCUGCCUAAUGCUGAGGUCUGUAGGACAGGGGACCCUGCAGUGGAAACUCCCCAGAUGAGCUUGGAGACUCUCCACUCACCACCAAUCUCCUGCUUGUUUAUCUGUCUUCUUGGCCUGCCUCCGCCAGGAUCUGAGUGUUUGUUUUAAAGAUUCAGGGUUCAGGAUCCAAGAGAGCCAGGGAUGGAGCAGACAGUUAGGCUUGCAGACGUCAACAUCAAAGAGGCCAGAGCUCCAAGCCCACCUACUAGCCUGUGGCCUUUAGCAGGUCAUUUUUACUGUUUACAAAAAUGGAGAAAACCUGUCUCAUGGAGCUGUUCUGAGUUAUAGAAUCGGUGGUGCACCUGAACCCUCGGCAUAAUGUCUGCCACACAGCAGGUGUUCCUGCGGGGGUUGUAACUCC